rnacentral:rRNA from 1 species
AGCGAACGCUGGCGGCGUACUUAACACAUGCAAGUCGAACGAGGAUCAUCGGGUUAGCAAUAAUUCGGUGGUCCUAGUGGCGCACGGGUGAGUAACACGUGGGUGACCUGCCCUUGAGCUCGGGAUACCCCCUCGAAAGGGGGGCGUAAUACCGGAUACGUUCCUCGGUCGAAAGACUGAGGAGGAAAGGUGGCGCAAGCUGCCGCUCUUGGAGGGGCUCGCGGCCUAUCAGCUAGUUGGCGGGGUAACGGCCCACCAAGGCUAUGACGGGUAGCUGGUCUGAGAGGACGACCAGCCACACGGGGACUGAGACACGGCCCCGACUCCUACGGGAGGCAGCAGUGGGGAAUUUUCCGCAAUGGGCGAAAGCCUGACGGAGUGACGCCGCGUGUGGGACGAAGG